UCCUCGGUAGCUCAGUGGUAGAGCGAUCGGCUGUUAACCGAUUGGUCGCAGGUUCGAAUCCCGCCCGGGGAG
rfam:Synechococcus sp. Tous Synechococcus-sp-Tous-C17, whole genome shotgun sequence.